UGAGGUAUAGUGUAAUGGUAACACGCAGGACUUUGACUCCUGUUAUGUUGGUUCGAGCCCAACUACCCCAGCCA
rnacentral:tRNA from 1 species